UUACGGCCAUAUCACGUUGAAACACCAGUUCCUGCACGAUCACCGAAGUUAAGCAACGUCGGGCCUGGUCAGUAUUUAGAUGGGAGACUGCUUGAGAAUACCAGGUAUU